AGUUAAGGCAGUGAACGUUGUGUGUGAUUAUGUAUAUGUUUGUGUGUAUAGAUGUGCAGGUUAGGUUACCACUCUUAGCACAUGCCUUGUAAUCUAAAAGUUUCCAUUUAAAUAAUGUUAGAAAAACAUAUUUUUAAUAAUUUUUACCUGUUUUUGCUAAAAUGAACGUUGACUUGCACCGAAUAAUUGGAAAUCAACAGGUGGAAUGUUGUAGAAAGUAAAAAUGAAGUUGCAUGUUAUUUGCCAGGUGCUCUUUUCUCUCUCCCUUAUUAAAGUUAUUGGCUCCAAGCCAUGUAAGCUAUGUACUCUUGAAAAUCUUUUAUUCUUCCUUAAUAAGCUGUUAACUCCAAACCAUGUAUACUCUACAAGCUUUUUUGUUAUCAACAUAAACACGUUGAUUGUUUGUUGUUCUCACGCUCAGAUACGUCACGUAUACUUCUUUAUACGCGGUUACAUAUGCGAGUCCAAAAAAAUGCAACUGCGCAUCCAAAUCGCGCAUGGAUUGCUUUCUCAUAAAUUUCUGUCGUGAGCCGCGCGCGGGAUUGCUUUCCCAUAAGUUUCUGUCAUCAACGGCGCACGGGAUUGCUUUCUCAUAUAUUUCUUCAACUAUACGGCUAUUUAUGUAGCUCUAAAAAAUUUAUAACAUUUUUUAACAAAUGUUAGACGUUGUAAAAUAAAGGCAGUAUGAUACACGAAUCAAUCUGGAACAGAUUUAAAUAAAAUUUUUAUUUUGAAAAUCAAGUAACCUGCAUGAAGAAUAUUGUUUAAAUAUGGAAAACGAUAAAAAUUCUGAAAAUGUUCUGUACACAUGUGUUUCUUGUGAAAAAACUUUUAAAAGAAAGAGAGAUUUAAUAAUACAUGAAAGAAUACACUCAAAAAAUAAACCACAUAUAUGCACUAUAUGUAAAAAAAGUUUUACUCAAAUGGGAAAUUUAAAUGUGCAUAUCAAGAUCCAUGAUACUGUGAAAGCUUUUAAAUGCUUAAUAUGCGAAAAAAGUUUCAAAACAAAUGGGCAAUUAAAAGUACAUCAAAGUAUACAUAAAGGUUUGAAAAAUUACAGUUGUAAUGAGUGUAAUAAGAAGUUCUCCCAAAAUCAACAUCUACAAACUCAUAGAUUGACACAUACUGAUCUAUGUAACUUUACAUGUCAUAUCUGUAAUAAAACUUUUGUUAGAAAAGAUGUUUUGGAAAAACAUGUAAACUCACAACAUCCUAAAAAUGUUUACACAUGUAAUUAUUGUAAGAGAACAUACGUUAACAAAAAAUAUUUGGAAAAGCACAUUAUGGCUCAUAUGUCUGGAAAAGUUAAAAUUGUAAAAAUUCUUAAAACUCUAAGACCUCCAGUUUUAUCUGUACCCUUAUUAUAAAAUUAUUAAUUAUACUAUAUAUACACAAUAAAAAAAUAUUUGUUCAAAAACA